rnacentral:misc_RNA from 1 species
UCUCCGUGGGUGAACCAGCGGAGGGAUCAUUACCGAGUUUACAACUCCCAAACCCAAUGUGAACCAUACCAAACUGUUGCCUCGGCGGGGUCACGCCCCGGGUGCGUCGCAGCCCCGGAACCAGGCGCCCGCCGGAGGGACCAACCAAACUCUUUCUGUAGUCCCCUCGCGGACGUUAUUUUUACAGCUCUGAGCAAAAAUUCAAAAUGAAUCAAAACUUUCAACAACGGAUCUCUUGGUUCUG